CACCCUGCUUUUAUCUUGUUCCUUUCCUCCCACUGAGACCCAAACAAACCUCCCAGUAAACAAACUCUCAGGCCACUCUCUUAAAGAAACAGCACACACUUAUUGCCAGAGGGAUGUCCGUCUGGCUCAGGGCUGAUCUGCAGAGAGAUGGGCUGGCAGGUGUUAAAGAUCACUCUGGAAAGGUGCAGGAAGAAGUUGGCCUGGGCCAACCUCCACCCUCCCCUGCUGCAUCAAGUGAACGUAUCUCUGAUGUGAUAAUAUCAAACAAAGGGAAAAUAAGAUCAGAGGGACAAAUCUAG
rnacentral:lncRNA from 1 species